rnacentral:lncRNA from 1 species
GGGCCUUAUGGACGUCGUGAACAGAACACGAGAAGAAAGAAAAAAGAGAGAAUAUAAUGAGAAGGUUGUGAGCCACCAAAAGAAGAGAGAGAGAGAAGAAGAAAAGCUUGGAAAGGCUUGGAAGGUGCUUCGUUGAAGAAAAGAAGAUAGGAGAAUAUUGAUUGGAGGAGUUCAUUCAACUUCGGGUAAAAGUUAUUCCAUCGAAGGAUCUUCUGUAAGUUUGUUUAAUCUUGGAUUUCUUCUUUCUUAUAUUAGAAGCAGUAUUCGG